rnacentral:rRNA from 1 species
UACGUAGGCAGCGAGCGUUGUUCGGAGUUACUGGGCGUAAAGGGUGCGUAGGCGGUUGUUUAAGUUUGGUGUGAAAUCUCCCGGCUCAACUGGGAGGGUGCGCCGAAUACUGAAUGACUAGAGUGCGGGAGAGGAGAGUGGAAUUCCUGGUGUAGCGGUGAAAUGCGUAGAUAUCAGGAGGAACACCGGUGGUGUAGACGGCUCUCUGGACCGUAACUGACGCUGAAGCACGAAAGCGUGGGUAGCAAACAGG